GGAACCGUACAGGCCGGGACUAGCCGCCUUUCCCUCCAAUAAAGAGGCGGUUUUAUCCCUGCGGGUUCGACUCCCGCCGGUUCCA
rnacentral:tRNA from 1 species